UCUUAUUGCUGUGAUGAAAUGGAAAUUUAAAUAAAAGGUCGAACACGUGCGUUCACUGGGAAGUAUUGACAUGGGUGUUACAUCACCACCAGCCAAUCAGAUAACUCCAGUCGUGUUUAUACUUCUACAACCACCUUGUACUUUGCAAAUAAAGGCAUUAUUUAUUGUAUUUUAACCACCACUGCCACCCCCAUAAAAAGAGAGAAGAAUUACUGAAGUUAAUUGCUUAUCUAGGAUUAAGGUAAUGAAAUGAAGAUGAAGCUCUUCCAAGUAUAUUCGUGAUCAGCCAACAUAAAAUUUGCCUCAACCUUUGAGAUAUUACUCCUGCGACAAGAACCAUAAAGAGUGGCUGUGCCAUCAUGACUCUAUUUUCAAAAGGAGUGGACCAGACAGUGUGGGUGGAGAAGGAAAAAAAUUCAUAAGCACUUUCGGAUAAACUGCUCAAAGUAGUUGCACUACUGACAAGGGUUCAGCAGAGGCUUCUGCAUGGACGAGGACAGUUGACAUGACUGAGGUGUGAAACAUAAUGCAGAUAAUGCACAAGUUAUGCCCUUCAAGGCCAUGAAUAAUUGUGGCCAACCUUGGACAAGAAGUCGGGCAUCCCAAGAGUGGAAUUAAAAAAAAAAAUGAAGUCAACUCCUGAGCUACACAGAGAAUACCUGUACACACACUCUCUUCUGAGCCUCUGUGACCGCGGAAAACCAUGGGGGAGAUGAUGCGAACAGAGAGCCUCUCUUCUAGCCUCUGGCAUUUCAAAUCUCCUAAAGCUGUAACUCAGCUGUCAGCCUGUGGAAAUGGAUCAUUCAGCACCCUUGCAACUUUCCCAGUGACUUCCUAAGGACUUAGCUGUUCUAUAGCUGAUGUCUUCUGUGUCUGAUCACUUGGGAAUCCGGUGGACUAGAGGCCUCUUGCACCCUCCGGUAGUUGAACUGUCCUUUUUAGUUUCACCAGGAACAUUCUGGACUUCAUCACUUCCUUCCAUUCUGGCCUGAUAUUUGAAAGCCACAGUCGAGUUACUAAGGGCCAGAUGUCCAGUGCUUUUCUAAAAAUCAAGUCACUGUGAACCAGUGAUGUGAAAACAGUCAUAAUCUAUAAUAGUUCCCAGCUAUAUAGCUUGGUACUCCUCAUUUUUAGUGUGGUGAAUAUAAUAAAUGUAGGUAAGUGUUGGAUUUAUCAUUUUAUCUUUUUUUUUUUUUAACAUUUGCUUUAGAAUUGUACUUCUCUUUCUUUGAAUUAUUUCCUAUCUUUUGGGGCCAGGAUCUUGUUUAGAUCUUAAAUUAUUAUUCAUGGCUCUGAAGACAUUUCUGGAUAAAAGUCAUUUUAUCUCACCAGAGAAAAACACUGUCCCCUCCACAUGGAAACAAUAGCAGAGUAGACCUUUGGUACUCAGAAAUUUAACAUUUCUUGUAAAAGUACCUCAGAGGUCUGUGCAGAAAGCAUAUUAUAUUGAAGGAAUGGAGCUUAAUCUCAGGCACAGGGUGGGAAGAAGACACAUGUAAUGAGAAGAAGGUGUGGCCUGUGUGAGAUGGUACGUUUCUGGGAUGCCUGGGGAAAUAGGAAGCAAACUUGACCCUGCCAUCUUCCUUAUCACUUUGUCAUUCAAAGUAAAGAUGGAGAGGGGUGAGGUAAUGAGGACAGUGCUAGGUUUGUAGAUGUUUGGGUUGGUGAGGGUAGGGACAGCA